UACGUAGGGGGCAAGCGUUGUCCGGAAUCAUUGGGCGUAAAGCGCGUGUAGGCGGCUCGGUAAGUCUGCUGUGAAAGUCCAGGGCUCAACCCUGGGAUGCCGGUGGAUACUGUCUAGCUCGAGUCCGGAAGAGGCGAGUGGAAUUCCUGGUGUAGCGGUGAAAUGCGCAGAUAUCAGGAGGAACACCAAUGGCGAAGGCAGCUCGCUGGGACGUGACUGACGCUGAGACGCGAAAGCGUGGGGAGCAAACAGG
rnacentral:rRNA from 1 species